UGACUUGUAUACUAGAGAGGUGGGAUCAAUAACGCAAAUAUAGAAAGGCUGUUUAAAUGAUUAUGGCAGUCCUGAAUAUGACAGGAGUCAGAUAACUGAUGUUCUCGUUAGUUACCGUUGAGUCAGCCCCUGUCUCAUGGCAACCCCAAGUGUUACAGACUAGAACUGCUCCAUAUGGUUUUCUCGGCUGUAGUCUUUAUGUAAGCGUAUCACCAGGCCUUUCUUCCACAGGGCCACUGGGUGACUUAGGUUAGUAGUCAAGUGCAAGCUGUUUGUGCCACUCAGGUACUUUUCAUUACUGAUAUGCAUGCUAAAUACUUCAGAUUAUUCACCAAAAUAAGAAAAAUAGAAUGUGUAAUUUCCAAACUAUACAGAAUUAAAAAAAUAACAGAGAGAAUUUUUAGUGAAUUGAUAAGCAGAUAAGAAAGAAGAAAAAUAGAGGCAAAUUAAAAGCAUGGUAAACAGAAAAACCCAAAUAAGAUUGUAGAAAAAAGUCCAAGUAUAUUAAUCACUAUAAAUAAAAACGAAACAGACAUUAAUAUCAGGCAUAAGAAUUUAAGAAAGAUUGGUAGGAUAAAGGAGUGGUAUGUAGUAGGUAUAGAAAGAAAAAGUCACCAAGAAAACAUACAGUCUUCAACUUGUAUUCACUUAACAACCUAAAGCAUGAUAUGGGACAUAAAAUCAAAAGACGCACCUGACCUAAAGUAAAAUGGCUGAACUAAUGCUAAGGCUCAGUAUAACCUUUCACAUAGAUUCAAACCCUGUUGCUUAGGAGCCAACCCUGUCAUUAAUGAAAUUCUUUUCUUUGUGGUCAGGCUAAGGAUGUGGACACUACGUGUCCUGGGGCCUGUAACCAAACCUUAUCGAAACGCUUUGUGUUAGAUCUCUUCAGAAAAUCUUAUAUUCUGAGUGAGGUAAUGUUUAACAACCUAUUCCUGACAGUACCUGUCAUGCCAUCGUCAUGUCGUUGUUUUUUGACGGUCCUGAGGCCCCCCUCUGCAAACACAUACCUUGCAAUUUUGUCCUUUAGCCAAUGUAUUCCAGUUGUAUUAAUGUAACCAGCAGUGUUAAAAAUCAUGCUUUGCUUUGUCUCACCUUUGAUUGACCUCAGUCACUGUAAACCAAUCAGAAUAUUGUGUUUUCUAUCUCCUCCUAUGACACUAUACCUAGAUGUGAUUUGUACCCCCUCCCUUGGAUCUGUGAGCUUCAAACUCUGAGGUUUUCACGAUCUCCAUUCGAAUGACAUACUGCCUUCAAUACAUGUCUUUUUUUUUUUACUUUAACAGAAUUGGAGAGUCUUUUCUCUACAAUAUUUGGCAGAGUCUUGGUGGGAUUCGGUGAUGUCUUCCCCAGUGGACCAGGAGGAGCUGAAAAACCAGAGUUAGGCACUGACAAGCUCCUGCUGUCUCGGACCCCUUGGGACCUGUCCAGACGAAGGAGCUGUGAUGUAUGACCUGCCCAUGGAGAGACUUAUGUGACAAAGACCUGAGGGAGGGUCCUGAUCAACAGACAGAGAGGGAGUGAGGCCCUCCAGACCAACAGCUCACAGAGUCCUGCUCAUAACAUGGAAGUGAGUAGGGAGCAGAUCCUCCCCAGUCAAGACUCAGUUGAGACCACAACCACAGGGUCCUGAGAACUUGGGGCAGUCACCAGAUUGUGACCUCCUGGGGACAGGGACGUCGUGGAUCCUUUUCAGAACCAGCCCCUGGACCACCUGCUGAUGUUGAUCCUGCCCCUGUGCUAACGCUGGAGCUCCAUAGUGCACCAACUAUUCCGUCACCAAUAUCAGAUGGACAGACAGCUGGAGGGAGUGAAAACAAUAACAAGAGGAAAACAUUGGAAUUCUUCACUUUUAACUGGAUCUGACAAAUUACCAGAGGAUACAAGGCUUUUCCAGGAAACACCAAAGCAGACAGUGUGGUGCUCUACAGACUCCAGCCUCCCAUGGAAGCCAGAUUCCUGCACUUCUUCAUUGUAGUCUGGAACGCUAAGGUCUGGAUCGAGAUGCUGAUCGAAGUGUAGGGUUGUGCAUAUCGUAAGUGCUGUUUCUUCCUCUGGAAGCCCUGGUUGCAUAGUGGUGAGGAGCUUCGACUGCUAACCGAAAAGUCGGCUGUUUGAAUCCACCAAGUGCUCCUGGAAAACCCUAUGGGGGAGUUCUACUCUGUCCUAUAGGGUCACUGUGAGUCAGAAUCGACUCGAUGGCCAUGGGUUUCCUCCUCUAGUGAUAUCAUUGUUGGCAUGAGAUGUUGUAAAAGUCGCAUUGCCAACUUAAUUUGAUAUUCUUCAGCCUUUUAAAUAGCUGUGCAAGUAGAACUGGUUUUUACGGAAAGCCUUUCAUGUAAAAAAAAAAUUUUUUUUUUUUCAUUUCCACCUAUGGCUACACUGUGUUUGGAGGAGACUUGAACUGAGUCACAUUUACCUUUAGAUUCCCAGAGUUGAGCAAAGUACCUGCUCUGUAAUAGGCAUUUAGUAUAACUAAUGAAAUUUAAAUUAACACUCACGACUGAUGGUGCUGUUUUCUGACACGAAGAUGAUGGUGCAGGGACACAGGAGUGCCUGCUACCUGUAGAUGUCUCCUGUGUUCCCUGACUCAGUUUCCCCUCUACCUGCCUUUAUGUGCAUCUCUCUGAAAUUUUCAUUUGCAAAAAUAAAAUAAAAUCUUCAUUUGCUCUGUAAGUUCAUCUCACUUUCACUUGGUAAGAACAUCACUCAUAGUAUUGCAUUGACCUCUUUUCUAUUUUGUUUUCUCGAGUAAAAGUAAUGAAAUUUCAAGUAAACACGAUUAUAAGCACAGACAUGAAUGUAGGCAGUGAAAUGAAAUGGCAGGACUGAAUUCCGUAGUUCCCAUUGGGAUGAUCCAGAGUAUAUGUGAUUCAAGUUAGUAUCUAAAUGAAAAAGCUAAAUAUUUCUUUAAAGAACUCAAGAGUAACCCCAAAAUAGGCUGGAGGUGUGUUCUGAGGUUUGAUUUUUGGUGACGUGGGCCUCAUCACUUGUUACCAUGAUCAUGCCUCACUCACUACCUCGUUAGAGUAUUAACCUUCCAGAGUAUUAAUUUUCUAAGACAGAAUAAUAACCUCAAACCUUUAAUGUCUCAGAUUCUGUUCUUUACAGACAUCUUAAUAUUUAACCAUCCAAUAUCACAAUUAAUUCAGUUUAUUAGAUUUCCCAUUCUUCUUCAGAAAAUCAUAAAACCUGUU